rnacentral:rRNA from 1 species
AAAGUUAAACGGCCGCGGUAUCCUGACCGUGCAAAGGUAGCAUAAUCACUUGUUCCUUAAUUAGGGACUAGCAUGAACGGCUAAACGAGGGUUCUACUGUCUCUUAUUCUUAAUCAGUGAAAUUGACCUUCCAGUGAAGAGGCUGGAAUAAUUAAAUAAGACGAGAAGACCCUAUGGAGCUUAAAUUAACUAGCCUAAUUAUUAUAAUAUAACCUAAUGGAUUAAAUACAAAAAUAGUAGGCUAGCAAUUUCGGUUGGGGUGACCUCGGAGAAUAAAAAAUCCUCCGAAUGAUUUUAGCAUAGACUAACAAGUCAAAGCAAUUAUCCAAAUCUUAUUGAUCCAAUCUUCUUGAUCAACGGACCAAGUUACCCUAGGGAUAACAGCGCAAUCCUAUUUAAGAGUUCAUAUCGACAAUAAGGGUUUACGACCUCGAUGUUGGAUCAGGACAUCCCAA